rnacentral:rRNA from 1 species
CAGUCGCCGCGGGAAAACGGAGGGAGCUAGCGUUGUUCGGAAUUACUGGGCGUAAAGGGCUCGUAGGCGGUUUGUUGCGUCGGGAGUGAAAACCCAGGGCUUAACUUUGGGCUUGCUUUCGAUACGGGCAGACUAGAGGCAUUCAGGGGAGAACGGAGUUCCUGGUGUAGCGGUGAAAUGCGCAGAUAUCAGGAGGAACACCGGUGGCGAAGGCGGUUCUCUGGGAAUGUUCUGACGCUGAGGAGCGAAAGUGUGGGGAGCGAACAGGAUUAGAUACCCGCGUAGUCCCUGUCUCUUAUAC